GGAGACAUGGGUUGAAGGCCCAAUUUUGCAAUUUCUUGAAUUAAUACAGCAUGCGGAAUGGUGGGACAAGCGUUUGACAGAAUUAGUCUUUCUGCUGGAGUGAUUAGUUUGCGUGCUUGGACUUUUUGGUUAUUAAUUUCUAUGGAUCCUCCAUAAUUAUUCAUGAAAUUUUCAACAACAUUUUUGUUUGCAAGGUACAUACACACUCUGUUGUUAGAAAGCCUUGAGGAAAAUAGGAUAUUUUUGGGCUCGAUCAACUUUCCUAGUGAAAUCAGAUAAUCUUGAAGUUUAAGGUUUUCAAUGGAUGGGAAUACAAUGGCUUGUUUUUCGUGGGAAAUUGUUGUUCAAUCAAAGCAGUAGAAUAAGUUUUAGUAGUGUUUUCCAUUUGGGCGCUCCUGUAGUCAGAAGUCCCGGCAGUCGGAUUUGACAUAUUUUAUUUAUUAUUCAAAACUAAGUAAAUCCUGAAAUACGGACCUGUCUUACAACAGGUGAUUUUAUCAUGUCGUUAUAGAUAACGAAUAAACGUGUUUAGGGGUUUUUUGUAUCAAACCGACUUCUGAUAAAUAAUAAAUUCCAGUGAAAUAACUUGGCUUUAUAUAAUUUUAAAGAGUACUUACGUACAAUAAUUGAACGCACUAUAAUACACUUAUAUAUGC
rnacentral:lncRNA from 1 species